rnacentral:lncRNA from 1 species
UCAAAACAUAACCGAAUAUCUAAUAACAAAUUAACUACUAUCAAGUUAUAAUUAAAACAUUUCACCACAUUAGUUCAAUUAUAAGGCUUCUCUAAACAAAAUGAGCAAGCCAUCUUCGCAUGGCUAUAAUGUAUACAAAGUCGAAAUAUCAUUCUACCUAUAGUCUAUCCUAUACAUGCCUUAAACCAUGAUGAUAUACAAUAUUCUCAACUCACAUAAUGACUAGAUAGUGUGAUGAUAUCUCCGGCCCUUCCAACUCGAGCUAAAGUAUAUACCUAUAAGAAAUGGAAAAGAGAACACGAAAUAAGCUUCAAUGCUUAGUAAGUUUUAAGCAAUGCAAACAAUUAAUUUACUUAUAGAUCGAUUAUUCAAAUUUUCAAGAAAUCAUUCCUAGAUAAUUGCCAUUUUGGCCAAGUAUCCAUGAACAUAAUGCAUAUUUAGCAAAUUCACCUCACUUGAAUCUGAACUCAAUUAAAACCUAAUAUUGAAAUUUCAAAUAAGAUCAUAAGAACUCGAAAAGCAUCUCAUUAACAAGUUUUAACCAUGUUUGCAACAAAAUCACAAAUUCACUACAAGUUGUCUUCCUGAGCAACAGUCACUAAAUUAUUUAUAACUGGAGCUAAGAAACGCCAAAUCAAGUGCCGUUAAUUUUCCCUGAAAAUAGACUCAUAUAUCUUCCAUCCAUCAAAUUUUCAGAAUUUUUGGUUUGACCAAUCAAUACCAGGUUUUUAUUGAAGUUUUCCAUGUUUCACUGUUUGACUAAUCUGACCACUCUUCACUACGAAUCAAAUUUCUCAUUAUAAAGAAUUCGAAAUAUGUUAUCGUUUAUUUCAUUUGAAACUAGACUCAUUAGGGAGUCUAAGAAUAUAAAUUUUAUCUUAUAACCAUUUUUGUACCAUUUAUAAUGAUUUUCUGAAAACAGAACAGGGGACCUCGAAGUCAUUUUGACUCUGUUCCACGCCACUUCAAAUAUCUCAUUAUUGGCAACUCUUUUGCUUACACGGUUUCUGUUAUAAAAACUAGACUCAUUAAGAUUUCAUGACAUAAUUUAUUCAGCCUCUAACUCAACUUCCACAAUUUAUGGUGAUUUUCCGAAAUCACGUUACUGCUGCUGUCCCAAGCAGAUUUAUUACCCAUUCUUUGGAUUCAUAUUAUUUAACAUGUAUAUCACCAAAUCAAUCUCAUAUAACCUUUCACCAUAACCAAAUACACACAUACACAUAUGAGAUUGUCACAUAUACUUCUCAUUUCGUAUUCAUGAUUCAAUUCCGAUCAAUCUAACAUAUAAAAGUAUAUAAUACAUACCUGACCGACUUAAUGUAUUGAACAUAUUCAAUGGUAGUUUACUACAAACAUUCGAAAUCAUAAUCUUACUCCAAUUAUUGGCAUUAAGUCUGCAAGAUUUAAAACCAAAAUCAAAUCACCACCACAAAGCAUGCGGGACUUUAAGCCCGGAUAUAAUACCAGCACGAAUGCCUUCGGGACUUAGCCCGGAUAUAACGCCAGCACGAAUGCCUUCGGGACUUAGCCCGGAUAUAGCACCAGCACUUAGCCUGCGGACUUUAAGUCCGGAUAUAUUUCCAGCAUAAAGCCUGCGAACUUCAAGUCCUGAUAUAUUUCCAGCAUAAAGCCUACGGACUUCAAGUCCGGAUAUUUUUCCAAUACCAUGCAUACUUAGUUAUAUAUUUAACACAUCUCAAUCAACCUAUCACUUAGUAAUCAUUUAAUACAUUCGGAUAUAAGUUCCAUAGGCACAUCAUCAUUAACAUUUCAACCCAAAAAUUAUACCUAAUAUCACACAAUCAUUUCGCCAUUCAAGCUUAAACUCAAAGUUACCAUCGACCUCAAAGUCAUAUACACGCAUUGUUUAUUAAACAACUUUGUACAAGUGCUAACUGAAUUUCAAUUCACCUAUUAUACUCUUAUAAACCAGCAUCAAUUAUAUAUUAAAGGAAACUACUCAAAACUUACCUCGGAUAUUUUGAACAGUUGCGGAUAGGCUACUCGACUGCUUUUUCCUUUCCCUUAUCUGAUUUAGACCCUCUUUGCUCUUGAGCUUAAUUAAAACAAAUAGAUUUAUUUAAUGACUUAUUCAACUUUACUAAAUACAAAUAUCAAUUUUUUUCAAAACAAUUUUCAAACAUUAUAUCCAAUGAACCACAACUAUCGAGUAUUUAACUUAUAAUCGGACAUAUGAUAUUACCCGUAUGUCAUAAGCUGAUUACCGAACCUAUUACUUCAAUUCAUGUACAUAUCGAAUGGAGUAAUCCUUACUUGAACUAUUAAUCAACCUUAUCAAAUGGACAAAUAUACUUAAGAUACCUUAUAUAUAUAUGUGCAUAGAUACCAUGUUACCGAAAAUUAUUUUUCUAGCUUAGUUGCCGAACCAAUAUACAAAACCCAUAUGCUAAACAACUCGUCAAUGUUACCUAUAUAUAUAUCAAAUUCAUUCCUCAUCCAUUCGACUAGCUAAGUUAAUAUCACGACACACUAUCAUAUAAUCCUUACGGCCACAAAGCAUGCUCAUUAUUUAUUAUUUCCAAACCAAUUUAUAAGCUAAUUUAUACAAUCAAAACAAGUCUAUAAUAAACCACAACCUAAUCAUAUCCACCAAUCACAUUUACUUUACUUAAACCGAAUAAGCAAGCACAUUUAGUCCUUGGCCGAAUAUCACUAAACACAAGUCAACAAUAGUUUUAAUAUUUAUCCCCCUAUAUAUCAUUUGCAAAAGAAAAGAAAAAAAAUGGAUUAAUCAUACAUAUAUACUACAAAAGCCGAAUACAAAAAUUUAACCUAUGCAUAACAUUACUUACAUUCCAAUACUCAAAUUAUUCAAAAUCAAACUCUUAAAAGUUAUGCACAAAGCCGAAUCCCUAAUAUGAACAAACCUCAAAUUCAUUCAUUUCAAACAUCCACAUGGUAUUUGUUCAAGUCAUUAAGUAAAUUUAUGUUCGGCUAUAGUACUCAUGAGUAUUAAAAAUUUAUAACUUAACUAACUCCAACCUUCCUCUUCAACAAUUCUUCAUAAAACAUAAAGACUAUAAUCCAAUCUCCUCCUUUAAUAACCAAAACCGAAUGCUCAAAUCAUCACCAAAUUUUAAAAUUUUGACAUGGGCUAUGUAUGAAACUAUCUAAUUAACUAAAAUCAAGCUUAAAAUUUCAAAAACUAACAUAAUUUACUAACCUUCCCUAAGCUUAAAGUGACCGAAAAUCUUGUCCCUUUUUCUUUCUUCAAUUCGGCCAAGAAGAACCAAAAAAAUAUGAAACUUUGUUUUCAUCACC